AAUCAACGCUGGCGGCGUGCCUCAGACAUGCAAGUCGAACGAUUAAAGCUCUCUUCGGAGAGUGUAUAGAGUGGCGCACGGGUGAGUAACACGUAAGUAAUCUACCCUCGAGUGGGGAAUAACAACCGGAAACGGUUGCUAAUACCGCAUAAUGCAGCGGCACCGCAAGGUGACAGUUGUUAAAGAUUUAUCGCUUGAGGAGGAGCUUGCGGCAGAUUAGCUAGUUGGUAGGGUAACGGCUUACCAAGGCUACGAUCUGUAACCGGUCUAAGAGGACGGUCGGUCACACUGACACUGAAUAACGGGUCAGACUCCUACGGGAGGCAGCAGUCGGGAAUUUUGGGCAAUGGGCGAAAGCCUGACCCAGCAACGCCGCGUGAAGGAUGAAGUAUUUCGGUAUGUAAACUUCGAAAGAAUAGGAAGAAUUAAUGACGGUACUAUUUAUAAGGUCCGGCUAACUACGUAGCCAGCAGCCGCGGUAAU
rnacentral:rRNA from 1 species